UGCUGCUCAAAAGCAGUGAUCUAGAGGAAAGGCUCAGCCAGUAUGGCUGCUGCCUGCUGAUGGGGGAUUCACAGCAGAGUGUGAUCACUCAUGCAGACCACCAUCGUGCCACCAAAGCUAUGGGGAGCAGUGGGUCACUGUUCACCUGAAAAGCAUCGUUCAGCAGGCUAUCAGGCUGCCAGCAACCUGCUCUUCACCCCUUUUGGCCAACAGGAGGACUCACCACUGGGGAUGAGCAGAGGGAAGUUUCCCCCUCCAUUUCAAGGAUGUUUUCCAGAAGGAUACAUCAUUUAACAGGCAAUAGAUCUGAAAACAGUUCUUUACAUAUGACACAACAUACGAAGAUUUAAAGAUCAAGUUAUGAAGAGAUAUGAAAGAAGGCAGAAGUUCAGAAAUUCUGUCACCUCUAAUCAAAUCAAGAAGGCUACCCUGAACUCAAAACUGACCUCAAACUGUGGGAUCUCCCCAAGUUUUACUGUACUCAGAUCCUCUGUGGGUGUUUGUGAGGCUAUAGACGAAGCCUCAGAAAGGACAGCAGAACAGAACAACAAAUGCCGAGAGGGUUGAGACAAAGAACAGCAGAAAAACAGACUGAGGAAACAACAGUAAGGUACUUUUGCUGAAAACAAUUCUUAUAUCAGAAAUGUAAAGCAGCACUGAGCUGGGGAAAGGAAUCUGCAGACAAGUAUUACUGUUGUCACUGUUUAUCCCCAUUAAAUGGUCCAACUGAGGAUGAAAUGUG